AGAAUCAUUAUGCAGGGAUUUCUAAACCUAUUGAACAUAAUGAUCCAACGCCAUCUCCCAAUCUUGAAUUCUUUGUAUUCGAAGCAGAGGAAGACGAUGUUGAAGGAAUUCCUGAUGAGAUUACCCGUCUUCUUGAGCACCAAAGGGCUCAUUCAGCUGUAUCAUAAGAAUCAGCAAGACAGUCAAACUGGGGCAUUACAAAUGUAAGGUAAAAAAAAAUGAAAAGAGAGAGGGAAAAAGAAAG
rnacentral:lncRNA from 1 species